GCCGCCUCUCUCACUCUCUAGUCUGCAGACUGCAGUUAAAGAAGAGAGAAGAAGAAGAAGCCGUCUCUAACUCCUCACUCUACAAUCAUUACUCAAAAACCACCAGGGUGAUAGUAGGCGUGGCUUCCCUGCAACCUACUCUACUAUAUCAACAACAUAACAACAUAUGAACACAUAAAUAAAUCAAGGGACACAUUGCAAAGGAUGUAAAUAAUGGAUCACAAAUAUUAUUAUUACAAAACUACAUUAUUAUAUUUAAUUUUCCUUAAAAACAUGAAUUUUAUAGAUAUUUUUAAGUUGAUAAUCAUGAAAGGUUUUAAAUAUGCAUUUAAUAUGUGAAAACAUUUGCAUUGGAAACUGAAGAGUGAAUCAGACAGCUUUUGAAGAAUGGAAUAAAUAUAGUAUAUUGUAAUAGAAUAGUGAUUUUUUUAUAAAGCCUAUGCAAAUAUAACAGAAAUAGGCUGCAACCUUAUAGAGAAUUAUAAGUGCAUACAAAACUAAUCACAAAUAAGAUCCGCAUUAACCAAACUGACUUUUACAAUAAGAUAAUAAAAAUUAAGCUAAUAUACUGGCAAAAUUUCAUGAUAUUUUCCGCCCAAAUAUGGGCCAAGUGGCACUUCUCUAAAUUUUCCAAACAAGCUCCCCACGAUUAUAGAUUUCAUCAUUAAUUUAAGUCUUCAUAAUAACUGAAGUUGAACAAAACAAGUUUCAAGUUUCAACAUUAAUAUUAUGAUCUGUUAGUCAGUUUUCUAUAUUGAGACUAUUAUUAUUUGCUUUUUUUCACUUUGUAGACUAAUCAAUAAUUACUCUAUUAUACUUAGCAUUCCUUA